GACGAACGCUGGCGGCGUGCUUAACACAUGCAAGUCGAACGGAGUGGCGAACGGGUGAGUAACACGUGUGUGAUCUGCCUUGCACUUCGGGAUAAGCUUGGGAAACUGGGUCUAAUACCGGAUAGUGCAAGAUGCGCUCGCGGCCUAUCAGUUUGUUGGUGGGGUAAUGGCCUACCAAGGCGUCGACGGGUCGCCGGCCUGAGAGGGUGUACGGCCACAGUGGGACUGCGGGACGGCCCAGACGCCUACGUGAGGCAGCAGGGGGGAAUAUUGCACAAUGGGCGGAAGCCUGAGGCAGCGACGCCGGGUGGGGGAUGAAGGCCUUGGGGUUGUAAACGCCUUUCGACAGGGACGCGGUACCUGUAUAAGAAGCACCGGCUAACUACGUGCCAGCAGCCGCGGUAAUAC
rnacentral:rRNA from 1 species